CGCAGUCCUGCCGCUUACCCGGCUCGUCUGAGUGGAUGUAACCUUGGGGAAAAAAAUUAAAUAAAGCAACAUAAUUAAAAUGACCGGGACUAUGUGAGCACCAUGUUCGCGGUGAGGUGCCUGCUGUUAGCUGCAGUGUGCGCGCGGGGCUUUUUGACAGAAAGGCUGAGUUCUUCUAAGGCAAAGCUGCUGCCUGUGGAAGAGGUCGUUCAGCCCAAAAGGCUCCUACAGCAGAUCCACUCCGAGGAGGAGCUGCUCCACAGCCGCCUGGACACUAGAGUCAGAAACUAUACAGGAGUGCAGCCUGUUCAUCUUGCCCUAAGCAGCUUCCUGGUUAAAGCCUUCGGCACAUCAUUUAUUCUUGACCUUGAGCUUAACCACAACCUACUGUCUACAGACUACGUGGAGCGUCACUUUGAGGAUGGACAGAUAUCUCAGAACAUGGGAGGGGAGCACUGCUACUACCACGGUCGUGUACGAGGUGUCCCUGGCUCCUGGGUCGCUCUCUCCACCUGUCACGGCCUACAGGGGAUGUUUUCUGAUGGGAACUUCUCCUACAUGAUUGAACCACUCAGCAGUGGAGAGCAACAGAACGACCAUGUUGUGUAUCGAAUGCCAGAUGUUUAUCUCGUCCCUCCUGCCUGUCCAGGAUGCUCUGCAAACCGCACAAAUCCUGAGGGCCAGACAGUUGUUGACAUGGACAAAGUUAGAGCUCACUGGUCUGAACAAGAGACCCACAUCAUUAAAGCAGGCCUGAGGCGUGCCAAACGACAAGUGCGUCGAGGCCAGCGCACUGUCCAGACUGAGACCAAGUACAUCGAGCUGAUGGUUGUGAAUGACUACGACAUGUUUGUGCGGCUCAAGCGGUCGACUAUUCAUACGAAGAACUUUGCCAAAUCUGUGGUGAACAUGGCCGACGCGAUAUACAAGGAGCAACUCAACACACGCAUCGUGCUUGUGGCCAUGGAGACGUGGUCCUCUGAAAACAAAGUCUCUGUGGGAAAUGACCCCUUAUUAACACUACGAGACUUGAUGAAGUACCGAAAGGAGAACAUCAAGGAGCGAUGUGAUGCCAUGCACCUGUUCUCGGGGAGUCACUUCUAUAGUGGCCGCAGUGAGGCGGCCUAUAUCGGUGGCAUCUGUUCAAUCACCAGAGGUGGAGGUGUCAUUGAGUAUGACAGUGCAGGUCCCAUGGCCAUCACAUUGUGUCAGAGUCUUGGCCAGAACAUUGGCAUGAUGCAGAAUCAGGAACAACCCAAAGGAGAGUGCAGGUGCCCGGACGCAUGGCUCGGCUGUAUCAUGGAGGACACGGGUUUUUAUCUGCCGAGGAAGUUUUCUCGCUGCAGUAUCGACGAAUAUCUUCGUUUCCUCCAGCAGGGAGGAGGCAGCUGCCUAUUCAACAAACCCACCAAGCUGCUCGACCCACCAGAGUGCGGUAACGGAUUUGUGGAGCUGGGAGAGGAAUGUGACUGUGGAUCACUGCUGGAGUGCUCCAACAGUGGCGCCAACUGUUGUAAGAAGUGCACACUUACCCACAAUGCCAUGUGCAGCAAUGGACUCUGCUGCCGAGAAUGCAAGCACGAGCUGAGAGGUGUGACGUGUCGUGAAGCUGUCAAUGAUUGCGAUAUUCCUGAGACCUGCACUGGAGACUCCAGCCAGUGUCCUCCUAAUGUCCACAAGCUGGAUGGGUACACGUGUAAUACUGGACAGGGACGUUGUUAUGGAGGUGGAUGUAAAACCAGAGAUGGACAGUGCAGGAGUCUGUGGGGCCACAACUCAGCUGACAGAUUCUGCUACGAGAAGCUCAACUCUGAAGGUACCGAAAGAGGAAACUGUGGCCAGGAGUCCAGUGGCCAGGGAUGGGUGCCGUGCAACAAGCAAGACGUUUUGUGUGGUUUACUGUUGUGCACCAAUGUGACCGCCACGCCGAGGUUUGGAGAACUGCAAGGGGCACUCACCAGUUUGACUGUACACCAUCAGCACAGAUACAUGGACUGCAGGGGGGGACAUGCUGUGCUGGAUGAUGGAUCGGACCUGGGUUAUGUAGAGGACGGAACUCCAUGCGGACCAAACAUGAUGUGUUUGGAGCGCCGUUGCCUCCCUGUCACGACCUUUAACCUCAGCACUUGCCCCGGCUCCUCAUCCUCAAGCGUCUGCUCCCACCAUGGGACAUGUAGCAAUGAGGUAAAGUGUAUCUGUGAUCCAGACUACACUGGGAAGGACUGCAGUGUGUUUGACCCCAUCCCAAUCCCCACCCCACCAGAAGGCCCAGAAAAGUCCAAAGAAACAUUCGGCGGGGAAGAUCUUCAGGAGUCUGAGCCGGCUCUCUCCACUGUCUUGCCCUCUUUUUUACCCUCUGUCCAGUCCUAUCUGAGGGGACAAAACAAAGUCAUCUUUCACAUGUUCUGCAAGUGGUUCCAAGCUGUCUGCUCUAUCUUUCUGUCCUUUCUGGCUUAAUUAUUGCCAUUUCUGUUCUUGUGGAGUGACUUUUUUGUGUGGAGAGGGCACAAGCCCUGAGGACAGAUUCUUAUCACAUCUAAAUGAUUCUCAGGGUUUGUCUGGUUGAAAAUGUCUACUUUGAUGUCAUUUUUCUAACCUUGUUUGUUGCUUGUUACAGUCAUAUUUUCAUCAUUUACCUUUUCCUGAAAGUUUCACUUUUCUUCACUCUGGUUUUGCAUUGGCUGUUAUGCUUUACGCCUUUAAAUGAUUUCACAGUGAAAGCACAGAAUGCAAUUAUAAUACUUAAGCUCAUGGACAAUACAGCCAGUUUGGUGAUUGUGCAAAAUGGCAAUAGAAGCAAUUGUGAAAAUUAACAUUUUAUCUACAUAAAUGAAGGUUUCAUACAGUAUUGCAAGAUUAGGCCUUUACAUUCCACAGUAUUAGCCAUAAUUUGUACUCUCCUCAUCUGCUGCUUUUCAUUACCAACCAAUACGUCAUCUAAAUCAAUGCUUUUGAAUAAUAGGCAUGACUGUAUGAACAUAUAGCUGCAAGGAAACAAUCACUUGUAGUCUAUCUGUGUGCUGACAGGUCAGAUAGAUCAUUGCACAUGUACACAAACAAUGUUUUUUCCCACUGUACGAUAUGUAAUCCACCUAUAAAUAAUAUGCAUACAAGUAUGCUGAACAUGGGUG